rnacentral:rRNA from 1 species
AGAGUUUGAUCAUGGCUCAGGACGAACGCUGGCGGCGUGCCUAAUACAUGCAAGUCGAGCGAACCCUUCGGGGUUAGCGGCGGACGGGUGAGUAACACGUGGGCAAUCUGCCUGUCAGACUGGAAUAACACUCGGAAACGGGUGCUAAUGCCGGAUGACACACGGGAAGGCAUCUUCCUGUGUUGAAAGGUGCAACUGCACCGCUGAUAGAGGAGCCCGCGGCGCAUUAGCUAGUUGGUGAGGUAACGGCUCACCAAGGCGACGAUGCGUAGCCGACCUGAGAGGGUGACCGGCCACACUGGGACUGAGACACGGCCCAGACUCCUACGGGAGGCAGCAGUAGGGAAUCUUCCGCAAUGGGCGCAAGCCUGACGGAGCAACGCCGCGUGAGCGAAGAAGGCCUUCGGGUUGUAAAGCUCUGUUGCUCGGGGAGAGCGACAAGGAGAGUGGAAAGCUCCUUGUGAGACGGUACCGAGUGAGGAAGCCCCGGCUAACUACGUGCCAGCAGCCGCGGUAAUACGUAGGGGGCAAGCGUUGUCCGGAAUCACUGGGCGUAAAGCGUGCGUAGGCGGUUGUGUAAGUCUGGAGUGAAAGUCCAAGGCUCAACCUUGGGAUUGCUUUGGAAACUGCAUAACUUGAGUGCUGGAGAGGCAAGGGGAAUUCCACGUGUAGCGGUGAAAUGCGUAGAUAUGUGGAGGAAUACCAGUGGCGAAGGCGCCUUGCUGGACAGUGACUGACGCUGAGGCACGAAAGCGUGGGGAGCAAACAGGAUUAGAUACCCCAGUAGUCC